AGCGCACCUUGCACUCCUUGGUAUUCCGAGGAGUAUGCCUGUUUGAGUGUCAUUAAAUUCUCAAACCUCAUAGGCUUUAUUGACUAUUGAGGCUUUGGAUGUGGGAGUUGCUGGCUUUUCACUAAGUCAGCUCUCCUUAAAUACAUUAGUGGUUACUGUUCUCCACUUCUUGGUGUGAUAAUUAUCUACGCCAUAGUGAAGAAAUAAAGUGUAGCUGCUUUCUAACCGUCCAUUUACUUGGACAACUUGAACCAUUUGACCUCAAAUCAGGUAGGACUACCCGCUGAACUUAA
rnacentral:misc_RNA from 1 species